rnacentral:misc_RNA from 1 species
CGGUCGGCAGGCGAUCCGCGUCGGUCGUGCGAGGGUGGUAUGGUUCCCCCAGAGGCCGGUUCUUGUGCUGCCUACCCCUUCAGGGGAAUCGGGCCACUUGAUGUAAGCCUCCAUCCGGCGCCUUCCAACGGGCGCAGGAGGACAACAGGGCACCCCCCGCGUUCCACCGAUCCUCCUUGGUCGCGUGGCCCGUGGGGACGUGCGACGCUCUCGGACCCAGCGAACGCCGUGGGCGAGGACUCACGUCCCAGUCCCGAAAAGAAGCUCCGAUAUAAUGCAAGACGGCCGCUCCCGCCCCCCCGGGGGCGAGGCGCGGCGUUGCAGAGGAAUGCUA